rfam:Biomphalaria glabrata isolate BB02 unplaced genomic scaffold LGTN_random_Scaffold165, whole genome shotgun sequence.
GGCUCGGUGGCUGAGUGGUAAAGCGCUUGGCUUCCGAACCGGGGGUCCCGGGUUCGAAUCCUGGUGAAGACU